rnacentral:tRNA from 1 species
AGGAGGGUUCCUUUAUUGGUAAAGAAGGGUUGAGCUGUAAACUCAAUAGCUAUUGCUUUUAAGAGUUCGAAUCUCUUGUCUCCUA